GAUGAACGCUAGCUACAGGCUUAACACAUGCAAGUCGAGGGGCAGCAUGAACUUAGCUUGCUAAGUUUGAUGGCGACCGGCGCACGGGUGAGUAACACGUAUCCAACCUGCCGAUGACUCGGGGAUAGCCUUUCGAAAGAAAGAUUAAUACCCGAUGGCAUAGUUCUUCCGCAUGGUAGAACUAUUAAAGGAUUUCGGUCAUCGAUGGGGAUGCGUUCCAUUAGGUUGUUGGCGGGGUAACGGCCCACCAAGCCUUCGAUGGAUAGGGGUUCUGAGAGGAAGGUCCCCCCACAUUGGAACUGAGACACGGUCCAAACUCCUACGGGAGGCAGCAGUGAGGAAUAUUGGUCAAUGGACGAGAGUCUGAACCAGCCAAGUAGCGUGAAGGAUGACUGCCCUAUGGGUUGUAAACUUCUUUUAUACGGGAAUAAAGUGAGGCACGUGUGCCUUUUUGUAUGUACCGUUAUGAAUAAGGAUCGGCUAACUCCGUGCCAGCAGCCGCGGU
rnacentral:rRNA from 1 species